GAUUCCAUGGUCUAGUGGUGAAGACAUUAGACUUUGAAUCAAAUGGCCUGAGUUCUAAUAUCGAUGGAAACC
rnacentral:tRNA from 1 species